rnacentral:rRNA from 1 species
UGGGGAAUAUUGCACAAUGGGCGCAAGCCUGAUGCAGCCAUGCCGCGUGUGUGAAGAAGGCCUUCGGGUUGUAAAGCACUUUCAGCGAGGAGGAAGGUGGUGAGCUUAAUACGCUCAUCAAUUGACGUUACUCGCAGAAGAAGCACCGGCUAACUCCGUGCCAGCAGCCGCGGUAAUACGGAGGGUGCAAGCGUUAAUCGGAAUUACUGGGCGUAAAGCGCACGCAGGCGGUUUGUUAAGUCAGAUGUGAAAUCCCCGGGCUCAACCUGGGAACUGCAUUUGAAACUGGCAAGCUAGAGUCUCGUAGAGGGGGGCUAGAAUUUCCAGGUGUAGCGGUGAAAUGCGUAGAGAUCUGGAGGAAUACCGGUGGCGAAGGCGGCCCCCCUGGGAUAACACUGACGCUCAUGCACGAAA